rnacentral:lncRNA from 1 species
AGGGGGGGGUGAAUUGGGUUUCUAAAAAUUUUAAGCCCAACUGAUUACUUGUGAAGAACAAAACAAAGACUUUAAAUCAAUAUUAAUUACCUAAAGCAGUAUUGCAAGGAUAUAAUAAAGAAAUAAGAUAAAGCAAUAAAGCACACCACAAACACAAGGAUUUAUAGUGGUUCGGUGCUAACCUUGCACCUACAUCCACUCCCUAAGAUCCUACUUGGGAAUUUCAAUCCACUAUCCUUUGUAUUCAACCCGAAUACAAAAUGUCGGAAACUCCGACACUAGCUAUCUCAAGC